GACGAACGCUGGCGGCGUGCUUAACACAUGCAAGUCGAACGGAAAGGCCCUGCUUGCAGGGUACUCGAGUGGCGAACGGGUGAGUAACACGUGGGUGAUCUGCCCUGCACUUCGGGAUAAGCUUGGGAAACUGGGUCUAAUACCGGAUAGGAACCAUCUUUAGUGUGGUGGUUGGAAAGUUUUUUCGGUGUAGGAUGAGCUCGCGGCCUAUCAGCUUGUUGGUGGGGUAAUGGCCUACCAAGGCGGCGACGGGUAGCCGGCCUGAGAGGGUGUACGGCCACAUUGGGACUGAGAGACGGCCCAGACUCCUACGGGAGGCAGCAGUGGGGAAUAUUGCACAGUGGGCGCAAGCCUGAUGCAGCGACGCCGCGUGGGGGAUGAAGGCCUUCGGGUUGUAAACUCCUUUCGCUAGGGACGAAGCUUUGUUGUGACGGUACCUAGAUAAGAAGCACCGGCUAACUACGUG
rnacentral:rRNA from 1 species